rnacentral:rRNA from 1 species
GACGAACGCUGGCGGCGUGCUUAACACAUGCAAGUCGAGCGGAAAGGCCCUUUCGGGGGUACUCGAGCGGCGAACGGGUGAGUAACACGUGAGUAAUCUGCCCUUCACUCUGGGAUAGCCCUCCGAAAGGGGGAUUAAUACCGGAUACGACAUGCUCCUGCAUGGGAUGUGUGUGGAAACUUUUGGGUGGGGGAUGUGCUCGCGGCCUAUCAGCUUGUUGGUGGGGUAAUGGCCUACCAAGGCUUCGACGGGUAGCCGGCCUGAGAGGGUGACCGGCCACACUGGGACUGAGACACGGCCCAGACUCCUACGGGAGGCAGCAGUGGGGAAUAUUGGACAAUGGGCGGAAGCCUGAUCCAGCAACGCCGCGUGAGGAUGACGCC